rnacentral:misc_RNA from 1 species
GUUGGUUGUGCUAAAGUAUAUUAUAAUUUUUCCUUUCAAAAAUUAUGUAUUUGUUUAUGCGUGAAAUUGAUUUUACUCUAUUUAUAUAUGUCAAAAGUAAAUAUGACAUUUUUCGCACGUUGAAGUUGAUUGCUCAAUAAACACCCACUUACACCAUUUUGCCCAUUCUCCCACUACUCUGAUCUCAUGCUCAUCGUAUUCAGUAGAUAUUUUUAGACAUUAAACAUUUAUAAUUGUACAAUAAAUAAUAUCCACUUGUAAGAGCAAUUAUUUAAUUGGUCUAGUUUUACAUAAUUAAUACCCAUUGAAUGUUGAUAUUCUUUUAACUUGAGUUAUGGAUUUGAUCAUUUAAUUUAACAUUUUAUAUAUAUUAAUUAAUUGAUCUAAAAAUAUUGA